GAUUGGGGUAAAGUAGACGCUGGAGAGGGCACAAACUAGAGGAGCUGAACAUGUUAACUCAUGUGCUGGGCCAGGUUUAAGUCCAGCUCCACCAUGCCAUCCCGCCCCUCCCCUCCCACCCCAUUCCAGCUCUUCAUUUUUAGUUCACACUUCACCGUAAGGAUGCUUGGAUUUGGCCAAUUUGGCCACCUAUCCAUGGUUCAGGUCACUUCCUGACAGUAGCUGUAGGAGUGGACCUUGUUUUCCCUAGUCCCUUCCUUCAGGUCCCUUCCCUCAGGCCCACGGUGUUGAUGAAAAGGAGACAGCAGUCACUGAAUCUCGUGUCAAGCUUUAUUUGGCAGGUGGCUUUGCUCAGUACUCAGAUCUCGUGGCUCCUUGGCAGCUCAGGGCUCAGACAUGGACAUGGAAUGGUGGUGUGGCCUCACGUGACGUUGCUUGGGCAGCAGGCUCCUGUUUUUCAUCGGACGGUGGCAUUUUUCAAGAUGUGGCGAGAUGCUCUUGAAGUCUGGUAAAAUUCUCAGGCAGGAGUUUUGAUGGACUUGCUAUUCUGUGCAUCUAGUAUUUUUUACACCUUAUGGUGUAUGAGCGGCGGCGACGGCAGCAUCCUGGAAAGCAUCGCCUCCUCCGUCUGCGACAUCUUCGCCUGCGACGGCGGCAUCUGCUCCUGCUUUUGCUGCGGCAGCAUCGGUAUCUGGCCAUGGUGCUAGCUUGGCCGGGAGCUGGCUCAGAGCAGGGGACACCACCUGGGUCGAGCCAGCCAACCUGUGAGCAGGCACCUUCUUGACAGCUGCUUCUCGGUGUCUCUGAAGUGUCUAAAGAUGCCGAGGGGACCAUGAAGCAGGAGUGAGCAGAUGUGUGGGAAUGUGAAAAGUGCCCAGUAUGGAGAAGGCCUCAAACAAACAGCGCCUUUCCCAUCAA